GCGCUAGCCUGAUCCAGCCAUGCCGCGUGAGUGAAGAAGGCCUUCGGGUUGUAAAGCUCUUUCGGACAGAAAGAAAUCCUAUCCGCUAAUACCGGGUGGGGAUGACGGUACUGUAAGAAGAAGCACCGGCUAACUACGUGCCAGCAGCCGCGGUAAUACGUAGGGUGCGAGCGUUAAUCGGAAUUACUGGGCGUAAAGCGUGCGCAGGCGGUUUCGUAAGACAGAUGUGAAAUCCCCGGGCUUAACCUGGGAACUGCAUUUGUGACUGCGAGACUAGAGUGUAGCAGAGGGGGGUAGAAUUCCACGUGUAGCAGUGAAAUGCGUAGAGAUGUGGAGGAAUACCGAUGGCGAAGGCAGCCCCCUGGGCUAACACUGACGCUCAUGCACGAAAGCGUGGGGAGCAAACAGGAUUAGAUACCCUGGUAGUCCACGCCCUAAACGAUGUCAACUAGUUGUUGGAGAAGGAGACUUCUUUAGUAACGCAGCUAACGUCGCGAAGUUGACCGCCUUGGGAGUACCGUCGCUAGAUUUAAACUCAUAGGCACUUGACGGGACCCGCACAAGCGGUGGAUUAUGUGGAUUAUUCGAUGCUUACGCGAAAACUUACUUACCCUUGACAUGCCAGGAAGAUCGCAGAGAUGUGAUUGUGCCCGAAAGGGAACCUGGCACACAGGUGCUGCAUGGCUGUCGUCAGCUCGUGUCGUGAGAUGUUGGGUUAAGUCCCGCAACGAGCGCAACCCUUGUCAUUAAUUGCCAUCAUUCAGUUGGGCACUUUAAUGAGACUGCCGGUGAUAAACCGGAGGAAGGUGGGGAUGACGUCAAGUCCUCAUGGCCCUUAUGGGUAGGGCUUCACACGUAAUACAAUGGUCGGUACAGAGGGUUGCCAACCCGCGAGGGGGAGCUAAUCUCAGAAAGCCGAUCGUAGUCCGGAUUGUUCUCUGCAACUCGAGAGCAUGAAGUCGGAAUCGCUAGUAAUCGCGGAUCAGCAUGUCGCGGUGAAUACGUUCCCGGGUCUUGUACACACCGCCCGUCACACCAUGGGAGUGGAAUCUGGCAGAAGUAGGUAGCCUAACCGUCAAGGAGGGUCGCUUACCACGCUGGGU
rnacentral:rRNA from 1 species